rnacentral:ribozyme from 14 species
AUAAAGGAGGCAAGUGCUACAGGUAUAAUACCCAUUGUAAAUCUACGUUUCAAAUCGAUAUUUCUUUUUUCUUCCUCCUUUUCUUCUUCUUUUGUAGCUGCCACCACCACCACUUCUUCUUCCUCCUCUUUCCUCUUUUUUUGCACACUACCACCCAGCAAAGUAUCCAACUUGACAGUCCCCUCAGUCACGAGUGAACUUAAAAAAAGGACGCAUAAACUAAAAAUUUGUAACUUGGAUUGUCCCUUGCGCAUAAUUAAAAAACAACAUAAUGCUGCACUUAAUGUUUUGGUUUGAUUUAAAACG